rnacentral:rRNA from 1 species
CACACUAUCGUUAACUGAAUACAUAGGUUAACGAGGCGAACCGGGGGAACUGAAACAUCUAAGUACCCCGAGGAAAAGAAAUCAACCGAGAUUCCCCCAGUAGCGGCGAGCGAACGGGGAGCAGCCCAGAGUCUGAAUCAGCUUGUGUGUUAGUGGAACGGUCUGGAAAGUCCGACGGUACAGGGUGAUAGUCCCGUACACCAAAAUGCACAGGUUGUGAACUCGAAGAGUAGGGCGGGACACGUGGUAUCCUGUCUGAAUAUGGGGGGACCAUCCUCCAAGGCUAAAUACUCCUGACUGACCGAUAGUGAACCAGUACCGUGAGGGAAAGGCGAAAAGAACCCCGGCGAGGGGAGUGAAAAAGAACCUGAAACCGUGUACGUACAAGCAGUGGGAGCACCUUCGGGUGUGACUGCGUACCUUUUGUAUAAUGGGUCAGCGACUUAUAUUCUGUAGCAAGGUUAACCGUAUAGGGGAGCCGCAGGGAAACCGAGUCUUAACUGGGCGUUAAGUUGCAGGGUAUAGACCCGAAACCCGGUGAUCUAGCCAUGGGCAGGUUGAAGGUUGGGUAACACUAACUGGAGGACCGAACCGACUAAUGUUGAAAAAUUAGCGGAUGACUUGUGGCUGGGGGUGAAAGGCCAAUCAAACCGGGAGAUAGCUGGUUCUCCCCGAAAGCUAUUUAGGUAGCGCCUCGUGAACUCAUCUUCGGGGGUAGAGCACUGUUUCGGCUAGGGGGUCAUCCCGACUUACCAACCCGAUGCAAACUACGAAUACCGAAGAAUGUUAUCACGGGAGACACACGGCGGGUGCUAACGUCCGUCGUGAAGAGGGAAACAACCCAGACCGCCAGCUAAGGUCCCAAAGUCAUGGUUAAGUGGGAAACGAUGUGGGAAGGCACAGACAGCCAGGAUGUUGGCUUAGAAGCAGCCAUCAUUUAAAGAAAGCGUAAUAGCUCACUGGUCGAGUCGGCCUGCGCGGAAGAUGUAACGGGGCUAAACCAUGCACCGAAGCUGCGGCAGCGACACUAUGUGUUGUUGGGUAGGGGAGCGUUCUGUAAGCCUGCGAAGGUGUGCUGUGAGGCAUGCUGGAGGUAUCAGAAGUGCGAAUGCUGACAUAAGUAACGAUAAAGCGGGUGAAAAGCCCGCUCGCCGGAAGACCAAGGGUUCCUGUCCAACGUUAAUCGGGGCAGGGUGAGUCGACCCCUAAGGCGAGGCCGAAAGGCGUAGUCGAUGGGAAACAGGUUAAUAUUCCUGUACUUGGUGUUACUGCGAAGGGGGGACGGAGAAGGCUAUGUUAGCCGGGCGACGGUUGUCCCGGUUUAAGCAUGUAGGCUGGUUGUCCAGGCAAAUCCGGAUAAUCAAGGCUGAGGUGUGAUGACGAGGCACUACGGUGCUGAAGUAACAAAUGCCCUGCUUCCAGGAAAAGCCUCUAAGCAUCAGGUAACAUUAAAUCGUACCCCAAACCGACACAGGUGGUCAGGUAGAGAAUACCAAGGCGCUUGAGAGAACUCGGGUGAAGGAACUAGGCAAAAUGGUGCCGUAACUUCGGGAGAAGGCACGCUGGUGUGUAGGUGAAGUCCCUGCGGAUGGAGCUGAGACCAGUCGAAGAUACCAGCUGGCUGCAACUGUUUAUUAAAAACACAGCACUGUGCAAACACGAAAGUGGACGUAUACGGUGUGACGCCUGCCCGGUGCCGGAAGGUUAAUUGAUGGGGUUAUCCGUAAGGAGAAGCUCUUGAUCGAAGCCCCGGUAAACGGCGGCCGUAACUAUAACGGUCCUAAGGUAGCGAAAUUCCUUGUCGGGUAAGUUCCGACCUGCACGAAUGGCGUAAUGAUGGCCAGGCUGUCUCCACCCGAGACUCAGUGAAAUUGAACUCGCUGUGAAGAUGCAGUGUACCCGCGGCAAGACGGAAAGACCCCGUGAACCUUUACUAUAGCUUGACACUGAACAUUGAGCCUUGAUGUGUAGGAUAGGUGGGAGGCUUUGAAGCGUGGACGCCAGUCUGCGUGGAGCCAACCUUGAAAUACCACCCUUUAAUGUUUGAUGUUCUAACGUUGGCCCCUUACCGGGGUUGCGGACAGUGUCUGGUGGGUAGUUUGACUGGGGCGGUCUCCUCCCAAAGCGUAACGGAGGAGCACGAAGGUUAGCUAAUCCUGGUCGGACAUCAGGAGGUUAGUGCAAUGGCAUAAGCUAGCUUGACUGCGAGCGUGACGGCGCGAGCAGGUGCGAAAGCAGGUCAUAGUGAUCCGGUGGUUCUGAAUGGAAGGGCCAUCGCUCAACGGAUAAAAGGUACUCCGGGGAUAACAGGCUGAUACCGCCCAAGAGUUCAUAUCGACGGCGGUGUUUGGCACCUCGAUGUCGGCUCAUCACAUCCUGGGGCUGAAGUAGGUCCCAAGGGUAUGGCUGUUCGCCAUUUAAAGUGGUACGCGAGCUGGGUUUAGAACGUCGUGAGACAGUUCGGUCCCUAUCUGCCGUGGGCGCUGGAGAAUUGAGGGGGGCUGCUCCUAGUACGAGAGGACCGGAGUGGACGCAUCACUGGUGUUCGGGUUGUCAUGCCAAUGGCACUGCCCGGUAGCUAAAUGCGGAAGAGAUAAGUGCUGAAAGCAUCUAAGCACGAAACUUGCCCCGAGAUGAGUUCUCCCUGAGACUUUAAGUCUCCUGAAGGAACGUUAAAGACGAUGACGUUGAUAGGCCGGGUGUGUAAGCGCAGCGAUGCGUUGAGCUAACCGGUACUAAUGAACCGUGAGGCUUAACCUU